ACCUACGGGGGGCAGCAGUGGGGGAUAUUGCACAAUGGGGGGAACCCUGAUGCAGCGACGCCGCGUGGGUGAAGGAGCGUUUCGGCGCGUAAAGCCCUAUCGGCAGGGAAGAAGGAGGACGGUACCUGACUAAGAAGCCCCGGCUAACUACGUGCCAGCAGCCGCGGUAAUACGUAGGAUCCGAGCGUUAUCCGGAUUCAUUGGGUUUAAAGGGUGCGUAGGUUGUUUUAUAAGUUAGCGGUGAAAUACCGAUGCUCAACAUCGGGGCUGCCGCUAAUACUGUAGGACUAGAGAUCGGAUGCAGC
rnacentral:rRNA from 1 species